UACAGAGGUCCCAAGCGUUGUUCGGAUUCAUUGGGCGUAAAGGGUGCGUAGGCGGCGCCGUAAGUCGGAUGUGAAAUCCCGGAGCUCAACUCCGGAACUGCACUUGAUACUGCCUUGCUCGAGUACUGGAGAGGAGACUGGAAUUUACGGUGUAGCAGUGAAAUGCGUAGAUAUCGUAAGGAAGACCAGUGGCGAAGGCGAGUCUCUGGACAGUUCCUGACACUGAGGCACGAAGGCCAGGGGAGCAAACGGG
rnacentral:rRNA from 1 species